AGACUUACCUGGGAGUAGUGAUAAAAUGAUCAGGAAGAUGGUUUUCCCAGUGAGGUGUAACCACUUUAGUAUAGAUGUGCAAGUUUCCAAGUGUAGAAAAUUCAACUUUCUAGUCCAGUUGUAGGGAAUUGCAUUUGUGCAAGUUUUUU
rnacentral:snRNA from 1 species